GCUCGUGCCGUGACGGUGUCGGGUUAAGUCCCGAUAACCGAGACGCAACCCCUAUACCACUUAGUUGCCAUCAGGUCAGCUGGGGACUCUAAAGGAACUGCCUACGCAAGUAGUGAGGAAGGCGGGGAUGACGUCAAAUCAGCACGGCCCUUACGUCCAGGGCUACACACGUGCUACAAUGGCCGAUACAGAGGGCAGCUACCUGGUGACAGGAUGCAAAUCUCCAAAGUCGGUCUCAGUUCGGAUCGGAGUCUGCAACCCGACUCCGUGAAGUUGGAUUCGCUAGUAAUCGCGCAUCAGCCAUGGCGCGGUGAAUACGUUCCCGGGCCUU
rnacentral:rRNA from 1 species